UACGUAGGGCGCAAGCGUUAUCCGGAAUUAUUGGGACGUAAAGAGCUCGUAGGCGGUUUGUCGCGUCUGCCGUGAAAGUCCGGGGCUCAACUCCGGGAUCUGCGGUGGGUACGGGCAGACUAGAGGUGAGUGUAGGGGAGACGUGGAAUUCCUGGAUGUAGCGGUGAAAUGACGUAGAUAUCAAAGAGGAACACCCAGUGGCGAAGGCGAGUCCCUGGAC
rnacentral:rRNA from 1 species